AUCCACUUGAUGAUGGUUGAUAUAUUCUAUAUAUGUCGGUUAAGUCUAGGUUAUUGAUUGUGUCAUUGAGUUCUAUAGUUUCUUUAUUCAGCUUUUGUCUGGAGGAUCUGUCUAAUGGCGAGAGCGGUGUGUUGAAGUCACCCAUAAUUAUUGUGUUGUGGUCAAUUUGACUCUUGAACUUGAGGAGAGUUUGUUUUAUGAACGUUGCUGCACCAUUAUUUGGUGCAUAUAAAUUGAUAAUUGUUAUGUCUUGUUGGUGAAUAGUUCCUUUUAACAGGAUAUAGUGUCCUUCUUUAUCCCUUUUGAUUAACUUAGGUUUGAAGUUGAUUUUAUUCGAUAUGAGUAUGGCCACUCCUGCUUGCUUCCGAGGGCCAUGUGAGUGGUAUGAUUUUUCCCAACCUUUCACCUUCAGCCUGUGUAUGUCUUUUCCUAUCAUAUGAGUCUCCUGAAGGCAGCAUAUUGUUGGAUUUGUUUUUUUGAUCCAGGUUACCAGCCUGUGUCUCUUGAUUGGUGAGUUUAGUCCAUUAACAUUUAAGGUUACAAUUGAAAUAUGAUUUGUACUUCCAGUCAUGUUUAUUUAUUUAUUUAUUUUAGUUUGGCUAGUUUUUACUUUUUGGUUGUUUUCCUCCCCCUUUACUGAGAUACCUCCCGCUGUUGGUUUUGGGCACUGUUUUUCCAUUCCUCUUCUUGUAGAAUUUUGCCCAAAAUGCUUUGCAGUGCUGGUUUUCUGGCUGCGGAAUCUUUUAGCUUUUGUUUAUCGUGAAAGAUUUUAAUUUCAUUGUCAAAUCUGAAGCUUAAUUUUGCUGGAUACAGUAUUCUUGGUUGGAAUCCAUUAUUUUUCAGCGUUUGAAAUACAUUGUUCCAGGAUCUUCUCGCUUUCAAAGUCUGUGAUGAAAAAUCAGCCGUUAACCUAAUUGGUUUACCCCUGAAUGUAAUCUGCCUCCUUUCCCUCGUAGCUUUUAAUAUUCUCUCCUUGUUCUGUAUGUUGGCUAUCUUCAUAAUUAUAUGUCUUGGAGUUGGCCUAUUACAGUUUUGGAUGUUUGGGGUCCUGUAGGCUUCCAGGAUUUGGCAAUCCAUUCCAUCUUUCAUCUCUGGGAAGUUUUCUAGGAUUAUUUCAUUCAAUAGGUUGUCCAUUCCUUUGGCUUGAAUCUCUGUGCCUUCUUCUAUCCCAAUGACUCUCAAAUUUGGUUUUUUGAUGAGAUCCCAUAUCUCUUGGAUAGAUUGCUCGUGAGAUUUAAGCAUCUUUUCAGUAUUGACUAUAUUCUUUUCAAGUUGAUAAACUUUGUCUUCAUUAUCUGAUGUUCUGACUUCUACUUGAUCUAGUCUAUUUGUAAUAUUCUCGUUAGCAUUUUUAAUCUGGUUUAUGGUUUCUUGCAUUUCUAAAAUCACUGUUUGGUUUUUUUUUAAGAUCUCUAUCUCCUGGUAAAGCUCGUUCUUUGCAGUUUGAAUUUGUUUGUUUAGUUGGUUUUCAAAAUAUACUUUCAAUUCUUGGAUUUGCUGUCUCAUGUCUUCUCUAAAAUUCCGUUCCAUCUGAGUUAGGUAUGCCUUGAUUUCUUUUCCUGUCCAUGUUUCUGAUGCUUCUAGGUCCUCCUGUAGAUUUAAGUUGUCCUGCAUUAUCUGUACUCCUUUUUUCCCUGGUUUUUUCAUGUUGUUCACGUUACUUUCCAGCUCUGUUUGACUGCUUUGUAACUGCUUUCUCCUAUACAUUUGUUUUGGCUUUGUUUAUAUCUGUUGUCUCUCCUUUGUG
rnacentral:lncRNA from 1 species